rnacentral:rRNA from 1 species
GAUGAACGCUGGCGGCGUGCUUAACACAUGCAAGUCGAACGAUGAAGCCCAGCUUGCUGGGUGGAUUAGUGGCGAACGGGUGAGUAACACGUGAGUAACCUGCCCUUGACUCUGGGAUAAGCCUGGGAAACUGGGUCUAAUACUGGAUAUGACUUCUCAUCGCAUGGUGGGGGGUGGAAAGAUUUAUUGGUAUUGGGUGGACUCGCGGCCUAUCAGCUUGUUGGUGAGGUAAUGGCUCACCAAGGCGACGACGGGUAGCCGGCCUGGGAGGGUGACCGGCCACACUGGGACUGAGACACGGCCCAGACUCCUACGGGAGGCAGCAGUGGGGAAUAUUGCACAAUGGGCGCAAGCCUGAUGCAGCGACGCCGCGUGAGGGAUGACGGCCUUCGGGUUGUAAACCUCUUUCAGUAGGGAAGAAGCGAGAGUGACGGUACCUGCAGAAGAAGCGCCGGCUAACUACGUG